rnacentral:rRNA from 1 species
UACGAAGGGGGCGAGCGUUGUUCGGAUUUACUGGGCGUAAAGGGCGCGCAGGCGGCUCAUUUUGUCAGGCGUGAAAGCCCCGGGCUUAACCUGGGAACUGCGCUUGAGACGGGUGGGCUAGAGAUCGGGAGAGGAGAGUGGAAUUCCCAGUGUAGAGGUGAAAUUCGUAGAUAUCGGGAAGAACACCCGUGGCGAAGGCGGCUCUCUGGGACGGUACUGACGCUGAGACGCGAAAGCGUGGGGAGCGAACAGG